AUAGCUUUGGGGUUAGCUAGGCAGGUCCAGGACAGGGAGUUUCCCGAGCAGGAUGGUAGUGGUGAGAUAGGAUACUGCCUGAUAUGGGGAGCCUUGGCUCCUGGACAGGAACCUAACUCCUGGCUUUUUACAGGGAUGACAGUUGGUCUACAGAACCGCAAAUCUAUGUUGAACAGGCUAAGACUUGACCAGUUCCAGCUUUGAGCAACUUGAAGGCCAACUGCCCUGAGUUGAUGAACUCCUGCUUCCUAAUUGGGUUUUUUUGUUUGUUUGUUUUGUUUUUGCUUUUUAAAAACGUCUUGAGUUUAUUAUGGCCAAAGGCUAGGCGAGCAGAGAACCUGCUCAUAGCCGACCUUGAGAAACGUAGGCAGAACGUCCAUUGGCGGCAGAGGGCGGAGGAGGUGUUGGGCCGAGCCCUACGAUAGAGGCUGCAGCAGGAGCCUGUGCUCUCCCUUCUGAUGGCUGCCUGGGAAGUCAGCUCUUCCCCCAGAAAGCCCCAUCUGUAUCUCCGUUGACAUACUGAUGUAGGCUUUAUGAUCACUGCUCGGACCCUCACCUGAGGAAUCAGAUUCUUAUGUACCCGCCUCAGCUUGGCUCGCUUCUGCCCAUUCUUGGUGACGAUUGUCUCCUCAUAGAAUUCGUGAGCCAGAUCUCCAUCUUCAUCGUAGAACAUGGAGCUGUGGAGAGAAGGGGAACAGGCUGGAUUGGAGCCUCAUCCCUGGCCUUGGCAAGGGCCACAGACCACAGGGAAGUACGCUGAACCCCAAGAGAAGACGCACAACGUGCGUUCUCCGUGGAAGAACUCUUUGCUUGGUGCCCGGAGGGAAGCAGGCAGUGUGACAAGGCCACUGUUGCCCUGUCAUACCAACAGGAUGUCACAUCAGAGCACCCUCUCUAGGCAACUAAAGUUAGUCCUCACCACUGGUCUGUUUCACAAAGGUCAUGAUUCUAGUAGCAGGCCCUUCACCUAGGGCUUAUUUAUGGAGUGGGUGGGGUAGUGGCCUGGGCAUACUGGUCUCACUUCUAAAGACACUGCUGGUCCAGGGCCAAAGACCAAGAUGGUGGAUGUCUGAGCCCAGAAGGCUGCACUCCAAGUCAUUCCCCAGUGGCUGGCACUGUCUAAUCGACACUGUUGGGUCUUUCUGGUAUUUACGGUCAAAUUUCCAUCACAGGGAAUGCCAGUCCCUAGGAGCUCACUAGGUCCAGGCCAUUUUGUGUGAGCACCUGGGAAAAAAGAAGGUUAGGUUAGUGUUCCAGAUCUAGAGAACCCAACUGGCUGAGGGCACUUUUUUUGUUGUGGCCCCACCUUCAACACUGACGCCUUUCUCUGCUUUUCCAGACACUAUUCUCGGAGGUCCAACUUCACAGUGAGGAAGGCAAGACACCUAAACAGAAGGUCAUCUUCCCUUAGAUUUCUUCUAAGGCUUAGAAGAACAGAAGGGACAUAAAUGCCUUUAAUUUGCAGGCUGAGUUGGAUGAAAGGGAGGUUUUAAGACUCUUAGAGGCCGUCUUAGCUGAAUUAUGGAGCUGCUCCCUAAGAGACGAACCUCAGGCAAUUCUCUAAAAAGACCAUCUGGGCGGUCAAGAGCUGAACGCCGCUUGGUUUUCCCUUCUCCUUGCUUUGACUGGGACCCAAAAUAUGACAGUCGUCUGAUUCAAAUGUA
rnacentral:lncRNA from 1 species